rnacentral:rRNA from 1 species
CAUGUAGGCGGAUUAAUAAGUUUGAAGUGAAAUCCUAUAGCUUAACUAUAGAACUGCUUUGAAAACUGUUAAUCUAGAAUGUGGGAGAGGUAGAUGGAAUUUCUGGUGUAGGGGUAAAAUCCGUAGAGAUCAGAAGGAAUACCGAUUGCGAAGGCGAUCUACUGGAACAUUAUUGACGCUGAGACGCGAAAGCGUGGGAGCAAACA